GCUUGUCUCAAAGAUUAAGCCAUGCAUGUCUAAGUAUAAGCAAUAUACAGUGAAACUGCGAAUGGCUCAUUAUAUCAGUUAUAGUUUAUUUGAUAGUCCCUUCUACUUGGAUAACCGUAGUAAUUCUAGAGCUAAUACAUGCAUCAAACCCCGACUCACGAAGGGGUGUAUUUAUUAGAUGGAAACCAAUGCGGGGCAACCCGGUAUAUGGUGAUUCAUAAUAACUUUCGGAUCGAUCUUCGGAUCGAUGCAUCAUUCAAGUUUCUGCCCUAUCAGCUUUGGAUGGUAGGGUAUUGGCCUACCAUGGCUUUAACGGGUAACGGAGAAUUAGGGUUCGAUUCCGGAGAGGGAGCCUGAGAAAUGGCUACCACAUCCAAGGAAGGCAGCAGG
rnacentral:rRNA from 1 species